rfam:Gossypium raimondii Chr01_contig_556, whole genome shotgun sequence.
CACGUUAGAGCGCUUUGCUGACGUGGCAACAAUCUCGUCCACGUAAGCGCGAUUUGUUGCCACGUCAGCAAACCGCUCUGACGUGG